AAGUCGUAACAAGGUCUCCGUAGGUGAACCUGCGGAGGGAUCAUUACCGAGUGAGGGCCACAACCCCGACCUCCCACCCUUGUUAUACAAACCACGUUGCUUCGGGGGGACUAUCGCUUAGGGCCCGGCCAGGACCGCUUCAAACUCUGCAUCAUUGCGUCGGAGUCAAAUACAAAUGAAAUCAAAA
rnacentral:misc_RNA from 1 species